rnacentral:rRNA from 1 species
UGGGGAAUCUUGCACAAUGGGGGCAACCCUGAUGCAGCGACGCCGCGUGAGCGAUGAAGCCCUUCGGGGCGUAAAGCUCUUUCGACCGGAACGAUAAUGACGGUACCGGGAGAAGAAGUUGCGGCUAACUACGUGCCAGCAGCCGCGGUAAUACGUAGGCAGCAAGCGUUGUUCGGAGUUACUGGGCGUAAAGAGUGCGUAGGCGGUUUUCUAAGUUCGGUGUGAAAUCUCCCGGCUUAACUGGGAGGGUGCGCCGAAGACUGGGAAGCUGGAGUGUGGGAAAGGCAGGCGGAAUUCCUGGUGUAGCGGUGAAAUGCGUAGAUAUCAGGAGGAACACCGGCGGUGUAGACGGCUUGCUAGACCAUAACUGACGCUGAGGCACGAAAGCGUGGGUAGCAAACA